AUUGAACGCUGGCGGCAUGCCUAACACAUGCAAGUCGAACGAGUGGCGGACGGGUGAGUAAUGUCUGGGAAACUGCCUGAUGGAGGGGGAUAACUACUGGAAACGGUAGCUAAUACCGCAUACCAUCGGAUGUGCCCAUAUGGGAUUAGCUAGUAGGUGGGGUAAAGGCUCACCUAGGCGACGAUCCCUACCUGGUCUGCGAGGCUGACCGGCCACACUGGAACUGAGACACGGGCCAGACUCCUACGGGAGGCAGCAGUGGGGAAUAUUGCACAAUGGGCGAAAGCCUGAUGCAGCCAUGCCGCGGGUAUGAAGAAGGCCUUCGGGUUGUAAAGUACUUUCAGUGGGGAGGCGUUACCCGCAGAAGAAGCACCGGCUAACUCCGUGCCAGCAGCCGCGGUAAUAC
rnacentral:rRNA from 1 species